rnacentral:rRNA from 1 species
AGGCGAAAAGAACCCCGGCGAGGGGAGUGAAAAAGAACCUGAAACCGUGUACGUACAAGCAGUGGGAGCACGCUUAGGCGUGUGACUGCGUACCUUUUGUAUAAUGGGUCAGCGACUUAUAUUCUGUAGCAAGGUUAACCGAAUAGGGGAGCCGAAGGGAAACCGAGUCUUAACUGGGCGUUAAGUUGCAGGGUAUAGACCCGAAACCCGGUGAUCUAGCCAUGGGCAGGUUGAAGGUUGGGUAACACUAACUGGAGGACCGAACCGACUAAUGUUGAAAAAUUAGCGGAUGACUUGUGGCUGGGGGUGAAAGGCCAAUCAAACCGGGAGAUAGCUGGUUCUCCCCGAAAGCUAUUUAGGUAGCGCCUCGUGAAUUCAUCUCCGGGGGUAGAGCACUGUUUCGGCAAGGGGGUCAUCCCGACUUACCAACCCGAUGCAAACUGCGAAUACCGGAGAAUGUUAUCACGGGAGACACACGGCGGGUGCUAA